CAGAGUUUUCGAACUUCGCUGCCGACCCUGGAGUACGCGUCCUCUGCGUGGUCGCCUGGAUGCAGCUUGCCAUGGCCGUACCCUCCCUUGAGGAGCUGGACUCCUUCAAGUACAGCGACCUGCAGAACUUAGCCAAGAAUCUGGGCCUCCGAGCUAACCUGAGGGCAGACAAGUCGUUAAAAGCCUUGAAAGCCCACCUUAAACACAAGGUAAAAAAAGAAGAUGAUAAUCGGGAUGGAAGUCAGACUUCUGCAUCGUCUUGUGAUGAGGCUAAGAUGCAGAGUGGCAGCCAGGAACAAGCUGAGAGGGAGCCGGUUGACCAUGGCACCAAAACCAGGAGAAGGUGCAGGACGGUCCACAGGAACCCUGACUCCCAGCAGGAUGAUUCAGAGAUAAAAAUAAGUGAUCACACUGAAUUGCAGAAUCAAGAGAAGCAGGAAAACCAGGAUCUCAGAACAGUUGCAGAAGUUCCUUCACCACCAGAUGAGAGCCAAGGAGAGGAGAAUGCCGUUUCCUCAGGAAAAAGAAGAAUAAAUGGUAAUGAAGAUUCAAAGGUACCUUCAGAAAGAAAGAAGCCUCUCUACACAGAUGGGUUUUCCAAACCUGGAAAAAGCAAAAGAAAUACAAGCACUACUCCAAACUUUAAGAAGCUUCAUGAGGCUCGCUUUAAGGAAAUGGAGUCCAUUGAUCAAUAUAUUGAGAGAAAAAAGAAACAUUUUGAAGAACACAAUUCAUUUAAUGAACUGAAGAAGCAGCUGGUCACCAAGGGAGCGGUGGUGACUCCGGUUCCUCUCCGGGGAAGGCUCCGCGCAGCUUGCACCCCCACCAGCCAGCGCCGCUUGCCAGGCCGGCCCCUGGGCGCUGCAGGCCGGAGCACCUUGUGUGGGAAGGGCUCCGCCAAGCGAGCCGUUCUCUCGGCUACAAAAAUGAAUGUCAGGUUUUCAGCUGCUACCAAAGAUAAUGAGCAUAAGCGUUCACUGACCAAGACUCCAGCCAGAAAGUCUCCACAUGUGAUCAUACCUGGGAGUACCCCAAAAGGCCAGGCUGUGCUCGGGACAGACAAGUUAAAGACCACAAAUGGAAAUUCUGUUUCUGUUGUUACCCCAUUCAAACUGACAACUCAGGCAGCACAGUCUCCAGUCUCCGACAAGAAGCCAGCAUUUGAUCUCAAAGCAAGUCUGUCUCGUCCCCUCAACUAUGAGCCACACAAAGGCAAGCUGAAACCAUGGGGUCAAUGUAAAGAAAAUAAUUCUCUGAAAGAGCACGUAAACAGAGUUAGCUUCCACAAGAAAACUUCCAAACAACCUCCUCUCCAGACUAGGGAGGAACAACGGAAACAACAUGAGCAAAGACGAAAGGAGAAGAAAGCAAAGGUUUUAGGAGCUCGAAGAGGCCUCAUUAUGGCUGAAGAUUAAUUUUUUAACAUCCUGUAAAUAGUAUUUUAUUCUGAACCCUUUCUUUAUUGUAAAUAUUUUUCUGUCUUUCCCAUUUUAGUCAAAAGACUUUUUUCUGCUCUUUGUUCACUAUCUAUGU